UAGGGAAUCUUCCACAAUGGACGCAAGUCUGAUGGAGCAACGCCGCGUGAGUGAAGAAGGUUUUCGGACCGUAAAGCUCUGUUGUUGGUGAAGAAGGAUAGAGGUAGUAACUGGCCUUUAUUUGACGGUAAUCAACCAGAAAGUCACGGCUAACUACGUGCCAGCAGCCGCGGUAAUCGUAGGUGGCAAGCGUUGUCCGAUUUAUUGGGCGUAAAGCGAGCGCAGGCGGAAGAAUAAGUCUGAUGUGAAAGCCCUCGGCUUAACCGAGGAAUUGCAUCGGAAACUGUUUUCUUGAGUGCAGAAGAGGAGAGUAGAACUCCAUGUGUAGCGGUGGAAUGCGUAGAUAUAUGGAAGAACACCAGUGGCGAAGGCGGCUCUCUGGUCUGCAACUGACGCUGAGGCUCGAAAGCAUGGGUAGCGAACAGG
rnacentral:rRNA from 1 species